rnacentral:rRNA from 1 species
UACGAAGGGGGCUAGCGUUGCUCGGAAUCACUGGGCGUAAAGCGCACGUAGGCGGCUUACUAAGUCAGGGGUGAAAUCCUGGAGCUCAACUCCAGAACUGCCUUUGAUACUGGUGAGCUUGAGUUCGGGAGAGGUGAGUGGAACUGCGAGUGUAGAGGUGAAAUUCGUAGAUAUUCGCAAGAACACCAGUGGCGAAGGCGGCUCACUGGCCCGAUACUGACGCUGAGGCGCGAAAGCUAGGGGAGCAAACGGG